CCGAGUUUACAACUCCCAAACCCCUGUGAACAUACCUAUACGUUGCCUCGGCGGAUCAGCCCGCGCCCCGUAAAAAGGGACGGCCCGCCCGAGGACCCCUAAACUCUGUUUUUAGUGGAACUUCUGAGUAAAACAAACAAAUAAAUCA
rnacentral:misc_RNA from 2 species